CCAGCAGGCCGGGCGACCGCUUCGAUCCUAUCGGAGAGGAAGGUCCGAGCUCCUCCGGGCAGCGCACUGGGUAACACCCAGGCCCCGGCUGCGCAAGCAACUGGGGACGGAAAGUGGCACAGAAACAUACCCCCCGACGCGUCGGGGAAGGGUGAAAUGGCGGGGUAAGAGCCCACCGGCGGCGGCGCGAACCGCGGGCCGGCCAAACCCUGCGCGGAGCAAGGCCAAAUAGGAGGGUGCUAAGGGCGCCCGGCCCAAACCCUCGGGUUGGCCGCUUGAGGCCCUGAGCAAUUAGGGUCCUAGAUUGAUGAUCGCCCCCCGACAUGUCGGGGACAGAACUCGGCCUACAGGUCUGCUGGGCUU
rnacentral:RNase_P_RNA from 1 species